AUUGAAUAUAACUAAAUAACUGCUAUAGUAUUUAUUAUUAUAUACUAAUGGAAACAUGCUGAAUGCACAAUGAGAAUUGCAAUAAAUGAUCAGAUAGAGGACCAAACACUAGUGGGCUGAACGAUUUGAUUCAAGCUUUUUUCGAUCACUUUAUGAAAGAUUCGAAGAAGAAAAUUACACAAAUUUGAUAUGUAUUAUAUUAUAAUAUAACUUGUAAAUUUUUUUCACAGUUUAUAAAUUAUAAACUGUAUUUAUAAUAAGUAGUGGAAGGAAACUAUUCAAUAAAUAAUAAACUUUAAUUACAAU